CACUCCUACGGGAGGCAGCAGUGGGGAAUAUUGGACAAUGGGCGCAAGCCUGAUCCAGCCAUGCCGCGUGGGUGAUGAAGGCCCUAGGGUUGUAAAGCUCUUUCACCGGAGAAGAUAAUGACGGUAUCCGGAGAAGAAGCCCCGGCUAACUUCGUGCCAGCAGCCGCGGUAAUACGAAGGGGGCUAGCGUUGUUCGGAAUUACUGGGCGUAAAGCGCACGUAGGCGGAUCGAUCAGUCAGGGGUGAAAUCCCAGGGCUCAACCCUGGAACUGCCUUUGAUACUGUCGAUCUGGAGUAUGGAAGAGGUGAGUGGAAUUCCGAGUGUAGAGGUGAAAUUCGUAGAUAUUCGGAGGAACACCAGUGGCGAAGGCGGCUCACUGGUCCAUUACUGACGCUGAGGUGCGAAAGCGUGGGGAGCAAACAGGAUUAGAUACCCCUGUAGUCCCA
rnacentral:rRNA from 1 species